rnacentral:rRNA from 1 species
CCUACGGGUGGCAGCAGUGAGGAAUAUUGGUCAAUGGGCGCGAGCCUGAACCAGCCAAGUCGCGUGAAGGAUGACUGCCCUACGGGUUGUAAACUUCUUUUAUAAAGGAAUAAAGUGAGGCACGUGUGCCUUUUUGUAUGUACUUUAUGAAUAAGGAUAGGCUCACUCCGUGCCAGCAGCCGCGGUAAUACGGAGGAUCCGAGCGUUGUCCGGAUUUAUUGGGUUUAAAGGGAGCGUAGAUGGGUUGUUAAGUCAGUUGUGAAAGUUUGCGGCUCAACCGUAAAAUUGCAAUUGAUACUGGCAGCCUUGAGUACAGUAGAGGUAGGCGGAAUUCGUGGUGUAGCGGUGAAAUGCGUAGAGAUCACGAAGAACUCCGAUUGCGAAGGCAGCCUACUAAGCUGCCACUGACAUUGAUGCUCGAAAGUGUGGGUAGCAAACAGGAUUAGAUAUCCCAGUAGUC